AUAUACUCAUCCUCCAUGAACACGCCAACCCCUCCUCCAACCUCUUGCUCCUUAAUUCAGCUGCCAGCUCUGUUUCCUUCUUCUUCAUCACUUGAUCAGCAUUCCAUCACUCUCUCAUCCCAACUCUCCCAUAUUUACACCUUACCUUCACAGCCAUCCCAUUUCUCUCUUCUAAUAUAAGCACUAGUCGCAUUGCUCUCUCCCGCGAUGCUGCACCGUUCACGUUGAACAAACCCGAGUUAGGACCCUCUACUGCUAAGACAUAGUUUAUACAAAUUACAGGCACAUACAACUAUAUGGCCAUUUUGCCGGGAAUUUUCAAUGGGCUACGACUAUUCAUCACGACACUGUGGGACUUGCAGGAGCUGAGGUUUUCGAACAUCUUCGACGACGUGAGCUCUGUCGUCGUCACCAUCAUUGUGGCCGCCGUGUCAUGCUUCUUAGCAGCUCGGGGACUCUGAUAGCAGAUGUUCGGGAUACGGUUUCAUUUUUUUCCGGUGUCCGUCUGCUAAUAAUCAUUAUUGUCUCUCUGUUGCCUGUUGAUGGCCCAUGGAAAAACGUGAUUAUUGAAGGUGCAGGUGUCAGCAGAGUUGGAGUUAGGUACAUUAAAAAUUAGAGCGUAUCAUUCGGAUUGUUUUCAUUUAAAUAAUCUCAAACGUGUUUCAUGUUACUUAUAAUUAUUUUCUGUACCAACGGACAAAUUGGCAUGGUAUAGGUUUCUGCCAUAUCGACCAUGUAGCAAUUCGAAUGAACCAGGAAGUAACGAAUGAAGGUAUCCAAUUGGAUUGAAUUAUUUCUCUAA